rnacentral:rRNA from 1 species
GAUGAACGCUGGCGGCGUGCUUAACACAUGCAAGUCGAACGGGAAACCUUUUAUUGAAGCUUCGGCAGAUUUAGCUGGUUUCUAGUGGCGGACGGGUGAGUAACGCGUGGGUAACCUGCCUUAUACAGGGGGAUAACAACCAGAAAUGGUUGCUAAUACCGCAUAAGCGCACAGGACCGCAUGGUCCGGUGUGAAAAACUCCGGUGGUAUAAGAUGGACCCGCGUUGGAUUAGCUAGUUGGCAGGGUAACGGCCUACCAAGGCGACGAUCCAUAGCCGGCAUGAGAGGGUGAACGGACACAUUGGGACUGAGACACGGCCCAGACUCCUACGGGAGGCAGCAGUGGGGAAUAUUGCAAAAUGGGGGAAACCAUGAUGCAGCGACGCCGCGUGAAGGAAGAAGUAUCGAGGUAUGUAAACUUCUAUCAGCAGGGAAGAUAGUGACGGUACCUGACGAAGAAGCCCCGGCUAACUACGUG